CUAAAAUGUCUAGACACACCAGCGGGAUAGUGAGUCAUACACUGUGUACCAUGGUGCACACUUGAAUCUUGUUCUGCUGCUUCUCCAAUGUUUUCUUUGAAAAAAUACCAUUUUAUUUGGUGACCGUGAUAGCUCUCAGCUCUAACACCAUGCCUUCAGAAAUAGAACCAGCAGGUGGAACCACACCUUAGUGGGACUUGUUUCAAAGUUGACUUGUCAUGCCUUUUGGAUUAAUUCUCUGUACUUUCCCCACCUUUUGGCUCCACAGACCAACAGCAACAUGUCUGGAUGGUAGGAUGGGCGCUGCCUUCCAGGCUUGUGUGUGACCCUCAAGCUUACCUGAAGCUAGAGCACUUCCUAGGUGCCUCUCCCACCCCAGGAGUCAUGAGGGUUUGGUCGGCUGCCAGACUCACCAGCAGGAAUAUGGGCACCUCUUGCUGUAGCGACAACAGUAAAACUGCCACUCCCGAUCCAGCACUGACUCGAAGUAGCGGCUCUGGAAUCCUGCCACCAGCCCAUUGUUGGAGCACGUCUGGUACCUGAAGAGAAGACAACCCCAGGAACCUAAGAACAGUGACACAUACACAGACCCCUUCCCAAGACCCCACUGCCACAGUUACACACUCUUUCUCUGACCUAGAUUCUUAACAAUUUAUUCCAUUUUAUGCAAAUAAUAGUCUUUAUUAUAUUUGUAGAAAUAACAUAGCCCCUCCAUUAAAAUUUAAGUGACUCAGAAUUUUCUAACUGAACAAAAUUUAGGGAACACUGCCCCUGUCAUACCUCUUUCAAUAUAUAUUGUUAGAUGGAAGCCUGCAUAAAUGGGUGGAUCUAGAAUUUUACAUCUAGAAUUUUACAAAUUCGAGAUUGUAUUAUUCAUGCCAUUUAAAAUAAAAGGUAUUAUAAUUCAUUUUACUGGAAUUUAAAAUAAAAAGAAGACAAAGAGAAGCACAACGUAUUGAUGAAUUUCAAAUAAACAUUUCUUCUGCCUAAGAGAAGAGCCCUGGAAAUUGAGCACAAGGAUGAUCAUUCGUUCUGCCCCUGCACAGCAUGCAAAGCCCAGAUGGGCAUGGUGAAUGUGCCCAGGGCAGCCCAGUAGGAAAGCUGGGACCACAACCCAGAUUCUUCCUACUUAUCCAGGAAUCUUUCUACCACCCACAAGACCAUAAGCUCUACACAGCCAUGGCAUGUUUUUCUCAGAAUUCUAUUCCUGGUGGCCACCAAGAAUCCUGGCUGUGGAGGCAGUCCUUACAGAGUUGCAACAGGCCAACUGAAUGCCUCAAACCCCCUCUAAAGAUCCCUUUCCUGUCCUAGCUGCUUAGUCCUAAUUCUUCAAAUAUAUAACCGCUCCACUCCAGUCCACAGACAAGAAAUAAUUUUUGCUCUUUCAUUCUACCUGUGCUGCUGCUGGUCUUCACAGCACCUUUUGAACUAAACAUUGACUUAGAAUAGUACAAUCAUUUCUUCCUUUGUUCCAUCUCUAGUAUGAUUUUCUCCCAUUCCUGGGCCCAAUUCCUAUGGCGUCUUCAGGCUUCCCACUUUUUGCUGUGAUGAUAACACUAUUUUCUACCUGACCACAGUGGAUUUCCACUGUUCUUGCUACUUAUCCAGGAAUCUUUCCACCACCCACAAGACCAUAAGCUCUACACAGUCAGGGCAUUUCCACUGUUCUUGCUACUUAUCCAGGAUCUAGAAUUUUACAUCUAGAAUUUUACAAAUUCAAGAUUGUAUUAUGCAUGUCAUUUAAAAUAAAAGAUAUUAUAAUUCAUUUUACUGGAAUUUAAAAUAAAAAGAAGACAAAGAGAAGCACAAUGUAUUGACGAAUUUCAAAUAAACAUUUCUUCUGCUUAACAGCAGAGCCCUGGAAAUUGAGCACAAGGAUGAUCAUUUGUUCUGCCCCCACACAGCAUGCAAAGCCCAGAUGGGUAUGGUGAGCCAUGGCCCUUUGAUGAAAUCCAGUGGAUUUCCACCUUAUAGCAUGAGCUCUUUCACAAACCCUUCCAAAAUAGUUCUUCAGUUACCUCUCCUUCUUUGCAUUUCCCACCAUCCCAGCCAUUGGUCUAUCCCCUCUUAUGAGUGGGCAGAGCCAGAGCAGGCAGUUGUCUAUGUGCAUGGCCAGACAGCUGCUGGAAUGCAACCUUGUAUUUCAUGGGAAGAUAAGUUUUCAGAAAAUAUAAUGCAUAAAGUAAGUACCGUGUGCUGACUGGUGAGAGAGG
rnacentral:lncRNA from 10 species